rnacentral:SRP_RNA from 1 species
GCCGGGCGGGGUGGCUCCCGCCUGUAAUCCCAGCGUCCGGGGAGGCUGAGGCUGGAGGAUCCCUCGAGGCCGGGAGUUCGGGGCCGCCGCGGGCCGAGCCGCGCGGGCGUCCUCGCCGAGGCCGGCAUCGGCAUGGUGGCCNCCGGGGAGCCGCGAGCCACCAGGCCGCCUAAGGAGGGGCGAACCGGCCCAGGCUGGAGACAGAGCAGGCCAAAGCCCCCGUGCCGGUCAGCCGUGGGAUCGCGCCCGUGAAUCGCCCCCGCGGCCUCGCCUGGACGAGGCGGCGAGACCCAGCCUC